rnacentral:rRNA from 1 species
UACGUAGGGGGCAAGCGUUGUCCGGAUUUAUUGGGCGUAAAGAGUUCGUAGGCGGUUCGGUAAGUCGGCUGUGAAAUCCCCACGCUUAACGUGGAGGGGUCAGUCGAAACUGCCGUGACUCGAGUCCGGUAGAGGAGUGUGGAAUUCCCGGUGUAGCAGUGAAAUGCGCAGAGAUCGGGAGGAACACCCGUAGCGAAGGCGGCACUCUGGGCCGGUACUGACGCUGAGGAGCGAAAGCGUGGGGAGCAAACAGG